CAUCAUGCCCCUUAUGACCUGGGCUACACACGUGCUACAAUGGACAGUACAACGAGAAGCGAGCCUGCGAAGGCAAGCGAAUCUCUGAAAGCUGUUCUCAGUUCGGACUGCAGUCUGCAACUCGACUGCACGAAGCUGGAAUCGCUAGUAAUCGCGGAUCAGAACGCCGCGGUGAAU
rnacentral:rRNA from 1 species